rnacentral:rRNA from 1 species
AACGAACGCUGGCGGCAGGCUUAACACAUGCAAGUCGAACGCCCCGCAAGGGGAGUGGCAGACGGGUGAGUAACGCGUGGGAAUCUACCCAUCCCUACGGAACAACUCCGGGAAACUGGAGCUAAUACCGUAUACGCCCCUAGGGGGAAAGAUUUAUCGGGGAUGGAUGAGCCCGCGUUGGAUUAGCUAGUUGGUGGGGUAAAGGCCUACCAAGGCGACGAUCGAUAGCUGGUCUGAGAGGAUGAGCAGCCACAUUGGGACGGAGACACGGCCCAAACUCCUACGGGAGGCAGCAGUGGGGAAUAUUGGACAAUGGGCGCAAGGCUGAUCCAGCCAUGCCGCGUGAGUGAUGAAGGCCUUAGGGUUGUAAAGCUCUUUCACCGAUGAAGAUAAUGACGGUAGUCGGAGAAGAAGCCCCGGCUAACUUCGUGCCAGCAGCCGCGGUAAAAC